rnacentral:rRNA from 1 species
GAUGAACGCUAGCGGCAGGCUUAACACAUGCAAGUCGAGCGCCCCGCAAGGGGAGCGGCAGACGGGUGAGUAACGCGUGGGAAUCUACCCAUCUCUACGGAAUAACGCAUGGAAACGUGUGCUAAUACCGUAUACGUCCUUCGGGAGAAAGAUUUAUCGGAGAUGGAUGAGCCCGCGUUGGAUUAGCUAGUUGGUGGGGUAAAGGCCUACCAAGGCGACGAUCCAUAGCUGGUCUGAGAGGAUGAUCAGCCACACUGGGACUGAGACACGGCCCAGACUCCUACGGGAGGCAGCAGUGGGGAAUAUUGGACAAUGGGCGCAAGCCUGAUCCAGCCAUGCCGCGUGAGUGAUGAAGGCCCUAGGGUUGUAAAGCUCUUUCACCGGUGAAGAUAAUGACGGUAACCGGAGAAGAAGCCCCGGCUAACUUCGUGCCAGCCGCCGCAGUAAGAC